UAGGGAAUCUUCCGCAAUGGGCGAAAGCCUGACGGAGCAACGCCGCGUGAGUGAUGAAGGUCUUCGGAUCGUAAAACUCUGUUAUUAGGGAAGAACAAAUGUGUAAGUAACUAUGCACGUCUUGACGGUACCUAAUCAGAAAGCCACGGCUAACUACGUGCCAGCAGCCGCGGUAAUACGUAGGUGGCAAGCGUUAUCCGGAAUUAUUGGGCGUAAAGCGCGCGUAGGCGGUUUUUUAAGUCUGAUGUGAAAGCCCACGGGUCAACCGUGGAGGGUCAUUGGAAACUGGAAAACUUGAGUGCAGAAGAGGAAAGUGGAAUUCCAUGUGUAGCGGUGAAAUGCGCAGAGAUGUGGGGGAACCCCAGGGGCGAAGGCGACUUUCUGGUCUGUAACUGACGCUGAUGUGCGAAAGCGGGGGGAUCAAACAGG
rnacentral:rRNA from 1 species